rnacentral:lncRNA from 1 species
UACUUUUACCUCCCUGCUAAACAAAAGGUAUUUAUCAGCAGUGAGGCAUACUUUUUAGAAAAAGAGUUUCUUAGUGAAGGAAUAAGUAUCUCUAAAGUCGAGCUUAACGAAGUUCGAUAGGUAGAAGAACCGAUACCAGUAAUUGAAUUUGAAUCAGAUUUGAUAAGAUCAAAUCCAGAGCCCAAUAUACAAACAUCCUUAAGGCGAUCUGGUAGAGUACCACGUCAGUCAGUCAGAUACCUAGGUUUCUUAGUCCGGAAC